rnacentral:rRNA from 1 species
GACGAACGCUGGCGGCGUGCCUAAUACAUGCAAGUAGAACGCUGAAGAGAGGAGCUUGCUCUUCUGGAUGAGUUGCGAACGGGUGAGUAACGCGUAGGUAACCUGCCUUGUAGCGGGGGAUAACUAUUGGAAACGAUAGCUAAUACCGCAUAACAAUGGAUGACACAUGUCAUUUAUUUGAAAGGGGCAAUUGCUCCACUACAAGAUGGACCUGCGUUGUAUUAGCUAGUAGGUGAGGUAACGGCUCACCUAGGCGACGAUACAUAGCCGACCUGAGAGGGUGAUCGGCCACACUGGGACUGAGACACGGCCCAGACUCCUACGGGAGGCAGCAGUAGGGAAUCUUCGGCAAUGGGGGCAACCCUGACCGAGCAACGCCGCGUGAGUGAAGAAGGUUUUCGGAUCGUAAAGCUCUGUUGUAAGUCAAGAACGAGUGUGAGAGUGGAAAGUUCACACUGUGACGGUAGCUUACCAGAAAGGGACGGCUAACUACGUGCCAGCAGCCGCGGUAAUACGUAGGUCCCGAGCGUUGUCCGGAUUUAUUGGGCGUAAAGCGAGCGCAGGCGGUUUGAUAAGUCUGAAGUUAAAGGCUGUGGCUCAACCAUAGUUCGCUUUGGAAACUGUCAAACUUGAGUGCAGAAGGGGAGAGUGGAAUUCCAUGUGUAGCGGUGAAAUGCGUAGAUAUAUGGAGGAACACCGGUGGCGAAAGCGGCUCUCUGGUCUGUAACUGACGCUGAGGCUCGAAAGCGUGGGGAGCGAACAGG